GAUUGGUACUUAGCUGAAGAAAGAAAACGAUUGCCUGGGGGAUCGAACUGAGGAAACUAUCUGGAGAUACAGACUAUGAAGCUCAGUUUAAGAGCUAUGGAGUCAAGGAUGAAAAGACUGAGACACUGAAAAGAUAAGAACUCUGCCCAAGAUCACCAGCCAGUCAUGGAAGAACUUGGAGGUGGGCCCAGGAGCACUUCUUGGAGCUACCCAGUUUACUGCCUCAGUGUGGUUUAGUGCUAUCAGAUCCAAUGCCUUUGGCAUUGGUGGGAAAAGCAAUCCAUGUAAAUCUUAUAAAUGAAAGAAAACAA